GACGAACGCUGGCGGCGUGCCUAAUACAUGCAAGUAGAACGCUGAAGAGAGGAGCUUGCUCUUCUUGGAUGAGUUGCGAACGGGUGAGUAACGCGUAGGUAACCUGCCUUGUAGCGGGGGAUAACUAUUGGAAACGAUAGCUAAUACCGCAUAACAAUGGAUGACACAUGUCAUUUAUUUGAAAGGGGCAAUUGCUCCACUACAAGAUGGACCUGCGUUGUAUUAGCUAGUAGGUGAGGUAAUGGCUCACCUAGGCGACGAUACAUAGCCGACCUGAGAGGGUGGUCGGCCACACUGGGACUGGGACACGGCCCAGACUCCUACGGGAGGCAGCAGUAGGGAAUCUUCGGCGAUGGGGGCAACCCUGACCGAGCAACGCCGCGUGAGUGAAGAAGGUUUUCGGAUCGUAAAGCUCUGUUGUAAGUCAAGAACGGGUGUGAGAGUGGAAAGUUCACACUGUGACGGUAGCUUACCAGAAAGGGACGGCUAACUACGUG
rnacentral:rRNA from 1 species